GCUAGCAUGGCAUAGUGGUUUGAGUGUUGGACUACAACUCUGGAGAUUGGGGGUCGAAUCCCAGCUCAGGCA